UUGUGUACUAUCUAUGCGUGUUUUAUGCAUCAGCAGAGCACUCCAUUACUGGUAGGCUGCACACACAAUUAGGGCUUUAUGAUCUUUGAAGUCGGUUAAUACAAAGAUUUAUGUAUUUGCAGCAAUAAAAAGCCUGUGAAGUCAUGGGGAGAGAUGUUUUGUAGACCUACAGUCCGAUUCUCCUUUGAGUGGUGUUGGUUUAGCUCCACUGUCUUCAGUGGCAUCCAUCCUCACACCAUCUGAGCACCAGAAGAGCAGAAGAAGGAAACCCAUCCCUCGGUGCAUGCCCGGGGAGGUCUGCUCCUAGAGAGCUCUCUUUUAUUUCAGACCACCAGGGAAAGCACCGAGAGAGAGAGCAGGCUCCACGGCAGAAAUCAAACCUUGCAGCACGCUUCUUCCACCGAGCAGCUCACGGCAGCAUCCUCGGGCUGGCACUGCAGAGGGGCCGCUUCACCGGGGGGCUCCUGCCUGCCUGCCCGCGAUGCUCCCCAGGUCAAGGCAAAUCCACGGCCACGUGGAUGAAAGUGAAGGAAACGCUUUCAGUAACGAGCCGGGUUAAUGGAUAGUGAAGAUGGCGGUGGUAGGGAGAGAACGGGCCUUUGGAAGUCAAAGUAAUUCAUCUCAGAGACAAUUCUUUUUCCUGUGUACUGUGAAUUUCUGCGUGAGACUCCCUGAAACAUUCACUGUCGGAAAUGAUCGCAGCUUUUCUCUUGUUGGUUUCUCCAGGAAAGGUCAAGGCAAGCUGCCAGUAGGACGACUGGACAACGUCACUGCUUUAAAGACCUGUGAGUUCUCACUGACACUGAAACAGUAAUGGGCGAUGGAGCAUUAGGAGAAACUACGCUGCAAAAGCAGGAUGAAAUUUCCAGAGCGGAUUGAAUAGGGAAGAGGGUUAGGAAGCUUUAGUAAGGCAGAGGGAACAAAACCUGAUUUCUCCUAACCACUCUCCCAGCUCCAGGAUCUGGACUAAAUGACUCCUAUUUAUGUCUGACAUCAUACCUCCACCCUAAAGCUGUAGAAAUAAAUGCCUACAAACACAGCUUGUGUUACUGAGGAAGUGGCAAGAAUCUGGGUUUCUUUAUCUGUGUUGCAGGGUCCUGCCCCCCAACCUUCUCCUUAAUAAACAGUCUAGGAUGUCCAAUUCCUUGUGCCCCAGUCAUUAAAACACUGCCAUUUAAACUACAGAGCCAGUUCCUGACAUACUGGAAAAGAGCAGAUUUAGGAUUCUUGGUGUAAUCUUUUUUGUCCCUCCCCACGCGCAUAUGUUUUCUUACAAACUCUUCCAUGACACAGUCAUACUGCAAACUUUCCCACAGGAUGCAUGUCUCAUGCUGUACAACACAGGAUAAAUCACACCCAGUGGCAGAAAUAAAUUAGCAUAGCAAUCUUAAUCUGGUAUUUCCUAAUUUUCCUAAUUUCCUUAUCCUUCAAUGCUCAGCCGUGCUAAUCUAAACAAUAUUAUUUGAUGCAAUUUUUGUAGGUUAUCAUUUAGAUAUAUGUAUACGUGUUUGUGUAUCUCUCCAUCUAUCUGUAUCUCUUAAUGUAUUGGUAAACACAAAAGGAAAAGAUAAAAGUUGUUUGUUUUUAA